AACACUUUGGCUGGAGAAACAAUCUGAGGGAAAGAAAGAAAAGAAAACCCAGAGAGAGAGAGAGAGAGAGAGAGAGAGAGAGAGAGAGACUCUAUGCGCUGGAAUGGUGAAGGAAGGCAAGGGAAAAGCUUGGAAAGUGAAGAAUUAGAAGAGAUAUUCAACUAAAUUUUUUGAAAUUAAAACUUAAAGGUCACGCGCUAACGUUUGCUUGAUCUAUUUGAUCUGUCUAAUUUGUCUGAUUUGCCUCUGGAGCUAUCUUUCACGUGGCCCUCGUCCGGGAGAAACAAUACCAUGGCAUAUGAUUAUAUGGCCCUUGCCCGGGGAAAAAAAUACCGUGGUCUAUAUUCACAUGGCCCUUUCCUGGGGGGAUAUAAUACCAUGGUUACUUGCGCGCAAGAUAUGGACCUUUAUGGUCGUCGGUACCGACUAUGCAUGUGGGUCCUAGGACCAAUUUGAUAUGAUAGCUAAUAGAUGUACCAUAUAUAACUGCUUAUGAUUUUUGGUUAAAUAUGUGAAUCUGAAUAAGCUUUUGAUAUGAACUCGUAUUUCUGAAACUAUUUGGACAUCAUUCAUAAACCCUUGUUGUUAUUCAUUGGGGUCCAGCUAACUGCUUCUACGGAUUACUGGUCGAUCAUAAUGCUAAACCUAUAGAGGCUGGUUUGGGUCGUGACAAUCCUCAAUUUCAAAUCAAUGAGAAAGGUUACCUAUUUUAAGAAUCAAGAGUAAACUGUGAAUUGAAAAACCAUGCAUUGAGAAUCAUGGUUUUCGAAAAGUUUCUAGACGAAGGAAAGAAGAAUGCAACUCAGUCAGCCCGCAAAACUCAGUAUGAUUUGAUAAACAAAUAGACUAUUUUAGCUUCCUAUUCAUAGACAACAACGACCACUAAUCUAAUUAAGAACAAUAUUUAAACUCAUUUCAAAUCAAUAAAAUUACUUCACUACAAAAACAUUAUGUAUAAAUUACAUAUCUAU